AGUUUGAUCCUGGCUCAGGAUGAACGCUAGCUACAGGCUUAACACAUGCAAGUCGAGGGGAAACGAUAGAGAAAGCUUGCUUUUUCUAGGCGUCGACCGGCGCACGGGUGAGUAACGCGUAUCCAACCUGCCCAUCACUUGGGGAUAACCUUGCGAAAGUAAGACUAAUACCCAAUAACGUCCAUAGAAGACAUCUGAAAUGGAUUAAAGAUUUAUCGGUGAUGGAUGGGGAUGCGUCUGAUUAGCUUGUUGGCGGGGUAACGGCCCACCAAGGCGACGAUCAGUAGGGGUUCUGAGAGGAAGGUCCCCCACAUUGGAACUGAGACACGGUCCAAACUCCUACGGGAGGCAGCAGUGAGGAAUAUUGGUCAAUGGACGAGAGUCUGAACCAGCCAAGUAGCGUGCAGGAUGACGGCCCUAUGGGUUGUAAACUGCUUUUAUAAGGGAAUAAAGUGAGUCUCGUGAGGCUUUUUGCAUGUACCUUAUGAAUAAGGACCGGCUAAUUCCGUGCCAGCAGCCGCGGUAAUACGGAAGGUCCGGGCGUUAUCCGGAUUUAUUGGGUUUAAAGGGAGCGUAGGCCGGAGAUUAAGCGUGUUGUGAAAUGUAGACGCUCAACGUCUGCACUGCAGCGCGAACUGGUUUCCUUGAGUACGCACAAAGUGGGCGGAAUUCGUGGUGUAGCGGUGAAAUGCUUAGAUAUCACGAAGAACUCCGAUUGCGAAGGCAGCUCACUGGAGCGCAACUGACGCUGAAGCUCGAAAGUGCGGGUAUCGAACAGGAUUAGAUACCCUGGUAGUCCGCACGGUAAACGAUGGAUGCCCGCUGUUGGUCUGAAUAGGUCAGCGGCCAAGCGAAAGCAUUAAGCAUCCCACCUGGGGAGUACGCCGGCAACGGUGAAACUCAAAGGAAUUGACGGA
rnacentral:rRNA from 1 species